AUUAUGUAAAAGAUUAUGGACAUUUCUUUUUGUGAUGAUUUUUUUGUUUUGUUUUGAAGGGUGACACUUUUAACAUUCGAUAAUGUUUUUUUUUUACAAUGCUUUUAGAAUACAUCACUGCACAAUUAUGCAGAAAAUCAUAAAAAUUGAAUGUUGAAAUGAUGUCAUCCGAUGUCAAUGUAAAAUGCAUAUUUGAGCUCUAAGAAAAUAAGCAUUGUAUGAAAUUUGUUUUAUUUUGUGGUGUGACAUGUUGUUAUCAUAUAUUGUUUCCAAAUGUUGGGUCAUAUUUGUUAAUUUCCAUUGUUUUUUUUUUGUUUUUUUAAAUAAUUAAAAAGAUAAAAAGAAAACAUACUGUUAUAUAUGUAGGAUUCUAAAGUGGGAUUCUAAAAUGUGAUUGCCUAUAAGCUAACGUCGAACAUCUGCAUUCUAUAUUGAUGUUUUACAGUCCGGUGGUAAUUUAUAAAUUGAGGGAAAAUAGUAUUGCAAUUUUGUUUUUUUAAGCCCUAUUCAGAAUGAACAAUUGCUAGAUCUGUUAAAGGAGUAUGUAAAUAUGUAUGAAUUUUUUUAAAAACCAUUUAACUACUGCUCAACACAGUUUAUUGAUGUCAAUAUUAUGUAUAUUGUUUGGCUACAGUUGCCAUACAAAUGUUAAUGUGCCUUUUUUAUACAGUCUGUCUCAUUGUUUUUGUCAAUUUUUUAAUAUAUUUGUUUUAUUUCUGAUUUAUGUUUUUGAUUGUUGAAUAUUGAAUAUCUCUGGUUCAUGGUAUAAAAAUGUAACCACAGAAUUGUUUUGUAAAUAUUUCUUUAGAGACUUACUACUAUAAACUGUAAUAUAAUUUAUUAGUUAAUCAGAAGAUUCUCUUAUUUCCUACAUAUCAAAUACCAAUACUUUUAAGUAGCAGAAACAUUUCUAUAGAUGAUGUGUGAACUUGAAUUUUUACCAUCUAGCUGUAGUUAGAAAAAAUUCAGCAUGCUUUCCUUUAGAACUAGUCAAAAAUUGUACCAAAACUUGAAACUCAGCUAUGUUUUUGACAAUCAAAAUUAUGUUAGUUUUUCUCUUCUCGAUAAGGCAUGUUGAAUCAAUAUUUACAUCGCAUUUUUUUUAUUUAAAUGAAUAUGCAACUCAUAAACUUUACUUUCACAUUCAUUGGUGUAAAAAUCCUUCUUGUCGUUGGUAUUUGAAACAAAAGUAUGAAAUUUAAAGCAGAAAAGACCAAUAAACCUUAUAUAACACCUUAACGUUUGCAUGAAAAGGUGCUUCGCAAAAUUUUCAUGUGAAUUCAAAAAUGACAAAUGUUUUAAUUGUCAUUUCCUGUCUUACUAGCAUUUUCAUUUCAUUUGAAAAAUAUUAGAUAUUUUAAAGUUGAAAAAGAUGAUAUUCUCAUUGACAUUUUCCAUUUCAACUGUCCAAC
rnacentral:lncRNA from 1 species